rnacentral:lncRNA from 1 species
CAUCCCUAUAGCAUGUUCUAUGCACAAAGUCUUUUUAACUAGAUUUUUUUUUUAAUCACCCUGCAAAGUGGUUGGAUCAGUUUACAUCUAUCUCCCUGGGUUCUUCAUGCACAAAUCUUCCCAUUUUUUUUUUAUCCCAUUUCACCAUUAUUUGCCUGUCACUCCAUUUCUGCUAUGCAUCUUCUUUCACUUCCCAAAUGGAUCUUCAUCGACAUCUGCUCUGGGGUCAACUGUGUGGAACUGUAAUUUCCCCAAGCCUCACCACCCUCUGGGUACAUAUGUGGGAAUGCUAAUAUUAAUACCUAAUUUUUCUGGCUCAUUUCCCCAAAUUGCUGAUGUAUGAACCCCAGCUCCCUGAAAAUUCCCUCUUAAGAAUGUUUAGAAUCUCCAGAGGCAUGUGUGACAUAUGCUGCCCUUUCUUGAAUUCUGUGCCACUCCGCUGGCCACAGCCACUUCCUCCCGUGCUCUGCUGGCUCUGUUUUUCUCUGUCACUGCUGUUUAUGGGGUAGCAAUUUCCUGAAAAUGGCUACCGUCGCUUCAUUGGCCACGGCAGGCACUGUCACUACAUCAUGUUCCUCCUCUGGGUGCCAAAUCUCUUGCUGACCCCCGAGCUCAGCAUUUCUCGGCUGCUGGAACCUCUGAACACCCAAAGGUCAAAUCUGCUCUGUGGUGUGUGGCAGAGUGACAGAGAAAGACUUCCUACUCUGUGUUCUGGAUUCAGAGCUGAGGUGACAAGCUGAUGGUAUCUGUGGCCUUUGGAAAAAGCACAUAUCAUAGCUGCUGCCCUACUUGAUGAGCCCUAUUCCACCCUCCCACACCCGAUCCUCAUUCUGGCAUGACACCAGCUCUGCUUCCAGCCCCAAGUAUCAUCUUCUGCCCGCCUGUUCCUGCAGCUCUAUGUGAACUUUGGUUUCAAGUUAGCAUCUCAACAUCCAUUUGGCAAAGACUUUUGGAAGGGGCUGUUAUGUACCACCCUGGAUCUAGCAUCAGGGAUCAAAUGAUUGUUUUCACGCAUAUUGUAAAAUUGAGAGCAAGAAAGAAAAUCAUAACAAAGAGAAUGUUCAAAGGAAUUAAUAUUAAUUAAGCACCCACCGUGUGCCAAGCACCAUGCUCGGUACUUUCCUCGCAAGAAUCCUACAGAUUUGAUAUUGGAGACUCCAUUUGACUGAUAAUGAACCUGAGUUUGAAAGAAACUGAGUGACACUUUUUUGGUUUUAUUUUCAUCAGAGAACUUAUGAAUAUAUGAAAUACAUUUUUCUGUUUGUGGGCUUGCUUUGCUGCCUAUUUGCCUUACUCUAAGGCAAGUACAACCUGAGAUUGGAUCCUGCUAUUUUCUUCAAUAUUUCAUGCCCAGUUCCAAAAACAUUGCCUGGCAAAUACACUAGGUAACAAAAAUAUUUCUUGAAUGUGUGACUCAAUUGUUUAAUCAAUGAGUGAGUAAAUAAAAAUUGCACGGAGCU